rnacentral:rRNA from 1 species
AUUGAACGCUGGCGGCAUGCCUUACACAUGCAAGUCGAACGGUAACGCGGGGAAACCUGGCGACGAGUGGCGAACGGGUGAGUAAUGCAUCGGAACGUGCCCAGUAGUGGGGGAUAGCCCGGCGAAAGCCGGAUUAAUACCGCAUACGACCUACGGGUGAAAGCGGGGGAUCGCAAGACCUCGCGCUAUUGGAGCGGCCGAUGUCAGAUUAGGUAGUUGGUGGGGUAAAGGCCUACCAAGCCUACGAUCUGUAGCUGGUCUGAGAGGACGACCAGCCACACUGGGACUGAGACACGGCCCAGACUCCUACGGGAGGCAGCAGUGGGGAAUUUUGGACAAUGGGCGCAAGCCUGAUCCAGCCAUGCCGCGUGCGGGAAGAAGGCCUUCGGGUUGUAAACCGCUUUUGUCAGGGAAGAAACGCUCUGGGUUAAUACCCCGGGGUAAUGACGGUACCUGAAGAAUAAGCACCGGCUAACUACGUGCCAGCAGCCGCCGCAGUAA